CACCCGCGUGCCCGACCCUCACUCGACGCCUCCUCGCGCUGAGUCUUCUUCCCCCGACGAACCCAUGCGCUAACUGCAUCGACGGUUUCUUCUUCCCGCGUACAAAAUCCCUCGACAAAAGGGAAGUCGGGCAUCUCUUCCUCUUCUCUCCCAAUCUCUGCCCUAGACGCCUCGCGCCACCCUUGCUCCGCCACUUCGCAGAGCGACGGCGCCGAUCGCUACCACUGAUCGCCUCGGAUCCGUCCGAUCUUCCCCUCUUCCUCUGGAGAGCGUCGCCGUCGCACGGGACCAGCGUCGGCCACCUCCACACCGUGCCCUAAUUCCCGACUCCAGCCUCUGCCGGUUUCACUGCCUCGACAUCUCUCCUUACUACUAGACGGCUGCUGACAGUCUACUUCGAGCCGGUAAACCUCAGAUCUUUGUUGUACAGAUCUGAGAUGUCUUAGGUUGGAGGAGAGCCACACUUGUUGGCUUCAACUACAAUAUCCAGCAGUAGACCAUCUUUCCGACAGCGAACCCUUCAGACCGUAUUCCACCAGCAGUCACUUGGUUGUGAGGAAGAGAGAGGUUACAUUUCUGUGGUGCUGGAAUUGUGAUCGUGAAGUAGGAUUUGCUGUAGGUGUUCUUGGUUCCAACAGCAACAACCACCUUGUUCCAGCAAUCUUAUCGGUUGUGAAUUGAGGUAAGGUGUAGGGGAAUUUGAUAUAAAUUGGCUAAGUGUGAAUUAGGUAUAUGUUUAUAUGUUGAUUAGGGUUUUGCCCUAAUUUAGGGUUAGAGAUUUUAUUUAGCUAUUUAUACGAACUUAGCUAAACAAAAUAUAUAUAUGUAUUGUUUGACACAUGACUUUGACUCGAGACGGUGUC